UUAAGCAUAUCACUAAGCGGAGGAAAAGAAACUAACAAGGAUUCCCUUAGUAACGGCGAGUGAACAGGGAAAAGCCCAGCACCGAAGCCUAUGGUCAAUUGGCCAUCAGGCAAUGUGGUGUUCAGGUCAUUCCGCAGACGCACUGCUCCAUCCUAAGUCCAACAAUGAGUACGGUAGUACGGACAUGGCCCAUUGAGGGUGAAAGGCCCGUGGGGGUGGAGACCAGGCUUGACAGUGCUACUCUGGGAGGACCUUGGAGUCGGGUUGUUUGUGAAUGCAGCCCAAAGUGGGUGGUAAACUCCAUCCAAGGCUAAAUACAAGCACGAGUCCGAUAGCGAACAAGUACCGUGAGGGAAAGUUGAAAAGUACUCUGAAGAGAGAGUAAACAGUGCGUGAAGCCGCUCAGAGGUAAACGGGUGGAGUUGAACUGUGAGUUCCGAGGGUUCAGCUGGUGACUUUGAUUGGGCUUGGCCAAGUUGGUCGGGCACUGGGGUCUGUUUAGCUGCAGGUCUCUACCUUCGGGUAGGGAUGCGCGAUGCACUCGUUGAGUGUUGUGCGCUCCAGUGCUUCCGGAUCGGGUCGCCAGUGCACUCCCUCGGGACGGUCACCACGACCGGCACUGCCGUCUGUCUGUUGCGGUUAAACCGGCCGUGCAUUGUCCUUGUGGCUUUGUGCGGUCGGGAUGGCAGGUAGCUCGUUGGUUUGCUCGCAGACCUUCGGGUGUAAUCAGCUGACUGUAAUUUGACUGUGCGGUGUGUCGGGGACGGCGGCUUGAGGUGUGUGCGUGCGUGCUAGUCCUGCUGGCGUGUCCGUGUUUGGUUGCUCAGUUGCUCACAUAGUGGGCCAAGCGGCGACUGGGACGCGUGCGGUGGGCGGCUGCGUACGUGGCACUAUUCUUGGGCCUAUAGUCUGUGGUGUUGCGGUAGACUAUCCACCCGACCCGUCUUGAAACACGGACCAAGGAGAGUAACAUGUGCGCGAGUCAUUGGGCGUAACGAAACCCAAAGGCGCAGUGAAAGUGAAGGCUUGGCUUGUCCAGGCUGAGGUGAGAUCCUGUCGUUUCUUAUGCGUGGUACCACCAAGCAUCGAGCGGCAGGCGCAUCACCGGCCCGUCCCAUGGCCUUGGCAGUUGAAUAUACAGUACAGUCGGGGCGGAGCAAGAGCGUACAUGUUGAGACCCGAAAGAUGGUGAACUAUGCUUGUGCAGAUUGAAGCCAGAGGAAACUCUGGUGGAGGAUCGCAGCGAUUCUGACGUGCAAAUCGAUCGUCAGACAUGAGUAUAGGGGCGAAAGACUAAUCGAACCAUCUGGUAGCUGGU
rnacentral:rRNA from 1 species